AUGAACGCUGGCGGCGUGCUUAACACAUGCAAGUCGAACGAAGCACUUAAGAUGAUUUCUUCGGAUCGAAUUUUUGUGACUUAGUGGCGGACGGGUGAGUAACGCGUGGGCAACCUGCCUCUGUCUGGGGGAUAACAGUUAGAAAUGACUGCUAAUACCGCAUAAGCGCACAUUGCCGCAUGGCAGAGUGUGAAAAACGUUAGUGGACAGAGAUGGACCCGCGUUAGAUUAGCCAGUUGGUGGGGUAACGGCCUACCAAAGCGACGAUCUAUAGCCGGCCUGAGAGGGCGACCGGCCACAUUGGGACUGAGACACGGCCCAAACUCCUACGGGAGGCAGCAGUGGGGAAUAUUGCACAAUGGGGGAAACCCUGAUGCAGCGACGCCGCGUGAGUGAAGAAGUAUUUCGGUAUGUAAAGCUCUAUCAGCAGGGAAGAAAAUGACGGUACCUGACUAAGAAGCCCCGGCUAACUACGUGCCAGCCGCCGC
rnacentral:rRNA from 1 species